CCUGAUGCGGUUCCCCUCAUAGCCUCAUGGCUUCAGCUCCUUCAGCACACUUUUACUCAGCUGUCACGUAGCAUGCAGAGUCUCAGGAUUAUUCCGCCUGUCUUCUGGUCUGCUUUGUAUCUCAUCAUGCUCCUCAACAUCCUGCUCACUGUUCCCUGUAAGCUCCUGGUCUAGUUGCCCCCUUCCUGGAUGGGAAUACCUCUCAAAAGACAAAUUUCUAACUACAGAGGUGCGCUCUAUAGAUCAGCUGGACUGGACUUUUUCACACUUCGUCUGGGAACCAUGCAUGAUUCAUAAGCUGUCAGAAGGUGGUUGAUGGAACAGGCCACCAAAAUUCAGUAUCAAACGUACGUGCAUCUUUCCAUGCAUGCAAGUGAGAAAACAAGCAAGUUCAUGAAAGGAAACCUAGUAAAGAGAUACUCAGAUCUGAACCUAAGGCUUUCUCUUUGUAAAAGGAAAUCAGCGUGGGUGCAUGACAAGAAAAAAAGCCCUUAAUUUUACCUGAGGUGGUUAUGUAGCCCUUGGAUAAGACAAAAGAGAAUUGGGCUAAGUGAUCUCCAGGGUCCCUUCCAGGCCCACACUUCUGCAGCCAUACAACACAGCAUGUGCUCGCUUCAUUUCACCUAACACUCAGCGUCUACAGUACAGAUGUUUACACUGAGCUGGGCUCCCUGCGUUAUCAGUGGGAAACAGGCCCUGCUAGGAGAGCAAGCCUUGCUCCGGCUUUUGAGGUUGCAAAUAUGCAUUUAUCCAACAUUUCCUCAGAUCUAAUUAUGUAUAUGACUGUGAUCCUACUUUCCUUGUGGAGAAAAACUCCCACUAACAUUAAUGGGUAUUUUUUUCCUUAGGAAGGUGCACAAGAUACAGCCCUUAGAUUACGGGGGGGGGGAAAUGCAAUUUCAAUAUAAGUCAAGAGUGUUUGGUUUAGCUCCGAGUGCCUUGUGAGAAGAACAGAACUAAAAUUCACCUCAGGGCAUCCAAAGAUAACAAAUGUAAUUUCAAGAGAAAGCAUAGGGAUCUGCAGUUGCAGCAGACUGUGUUUUGUGUGUUUGCAUUGUGCAAGGUUCUGUUCUUUGCUUAGCAGCAUGACCUAUUUCCCAGCAUCAUGUGAUUUUUGUAUUGGAAGACUCUUCUGUAAAGAGGUAGAAUUAAUUUUCCAGUGGAAAAGAUAUAAAUCUGAUUGUCCUUAAUUCUGCCCAAUAAAAUAGCAUAACAUUGCA